rnacentral:lncRNA from 1 species
CUUUUUUAAAAAUAAAUAAAAACUACAUAAAAGACAAAAAAACUAGACCAAACAAAUUUUGAGUGUUUUGUAAAAUUCAAAACUGAACUAGUGUUUAGCAAAAUUAGCAGGCAUACAGUGACUACACACCAGCAAGCUCAAUUUAUAGCCUCUCCCUCUCUUGUAACAAUUGUUGAUUCCCACGUGGGACUAGUGCUCCCAACAAUUGGGAGGGAAAUGAAAUCAACUCCAUUAAAAUGUUGGAACACUAUGCUAUAAUUUAUAUGAAUUUAUAAAAUUAAUAUACCUAUAAAAUAAGUAUAAUUUUGAAUUUCACAUAAUGUUAUAAAUAUCUUGUAUUUAUUUAUUUAUUUAAUAAUUUCAUCGAUUCAAUUCGAUUCGACCUAGGGAUGUCAAUUCAACUCAAACGUAUCGUAGCUAGGCCAGUAAAAAGCCCAAGCCAACUUGGGCUGACCCUCAUUUUAUGACAACGAUUCGAGCUUGAGCGAGCCCGUGUCAUAGGCUCGUUCAGUCAUAGAAAAAGAUUUACAUAGCAUAUUCAAUUUUUCUUUUUUGUUGUUAACAACUAUGUGUAAUAUACCAAAUCAGUACUCGAUGCUAACUAAAACUAAGAAUAGAGAAAACACUGCAAAAAGGCACAUACCUUGCAAUGUUAGUGUAAUAUACCAAAUCAGUAUUCGAUGCUAACUAAAACUAAGAAUCGAGAAAACACUGAAACAAGGCACAUACCUUGCAAUGUUAAAAAUUGAGACAUAAUUUAACAUAAUAUACGAGUAUAUUAACUAAUUGAUGUUUAAACUGCAUUGUAGAUCAACAAGAAGCAACAGCCCAAAUGUUUUUCAUAAAAAGAAAGGAAUAAAUUUUAGUGAAAUAUAACUAUUUUCCUGUGCUUGGUCCACUAAAAAAUAAUAAUAAUUAGCUUAGAGAUAUUUUGGCCUUUUGUUCAAUAAUUGCAUUGAUACUUCAUGGAAAAAGAUGCAAGUACAGGGCUGUCAAGUGAGAGGGGAGGUGGGGCACAACCCUACAGUGAGGCCCUUGUGAACUGACCUCUUAUACGUGGAGCUCGGUCCUUCAUGAAGACUUUCCAACCUCCUCCUGACAUGACAGGCCCUUCCUUUGGUUCAAUAAUUGAAUUUUGCUCUUAAUUUCCUUCCAUGAAGGUUCUUGGUAAACGUGAGUCUACGUCCUUGUUUGGCCCCCACUUUGUAGAAAAGAAAAUGGAUGGAAUAGUAUUUUUUUUAAAAUUAAUAGUUGAAAAAGAAAGAAAAGUUUUCUGUUUACGUGUAAUAUUAUUUUAUAGAAGAUUGUGUGAUUGAAAAUAAGAGGGAGAAAAAUGAAAUGUAAUGAAAAGAAAAUUAAUGAGGGCCAAACGUGCUAAAAAAAUGUAUAUAACACCCUACAGCUUUCUCCCACUUCUUUAUUCUAUUGUAACAUAUUCAUUUAUCUUUGCUCCUUAGCCCGUUUGUUUUAGGAUUUUCAAGAUUAUUCUAUUCAAAGUAAAUAUAUUAUGAUC